rnacentral:lncRNA from 1 species
UCUAAUCUCUCACAACCAUGUCGGGAUCUAUAACUUGUUCGGCGACCGAUCUUGCCGUCCUGUUAGGUCCUAAUGCCACGGCGGCGGCCACUUACAUCUGCGGCCAACUAGGCGAUGUCAACAACAAAUUCAUCGACACUGCUUUCGCUAUAGACAACACAUACCUUCUCUUCUCAGCUUACCUUGUCUUCUCUAUGCAGCUUGGUUUCGCUAUGCUUUGUGCUGGUUCCGUGAGAGCCAAGAAUACUAUGAACAUCAUGCUUACCAAUGUUCUUGAUGCUGCAGCCGGUGGUCUCUUUUAUUAUCUCUUUGGUUAUGCUUUUGCAUUUGGAUCUCCUUCAAAUGGAUUCAUUGGUAAACACUU